rnacentral:lncRNA from 1 species
UUUGCGUGACCAAGUCUUCUGUAUUAAAUUGAUUUGAGGAUACAUACCAUCAAUUAUUUGCCAUGCUAGCAUAGAUGUAAUACAUUGUGCCACACAUUUGCAGUACAUAUAUAUUACAUAAUGCGAACAAAAAUACAGUUCUCUAUCUUGAAUCGAGAAAUCGAUGAAUUAACAAACAAGCUAGUGGCGGAUGCCGAUGGAGGUCGACGGUUUUGGGACGCAACAACAAGAGGAGACCCCACCAACAACCUUGCAUAUCCCAACAGCAUUCAACCCCAAGACGGCGCACGUCGCCCCACAUGACUGUUCGUUGCAGUUGUCAGAGUUUGAGCACUGCUCUCCUCCUAAGAGGGCACGACUGCCUUGGCUUGCUAGAACGGCCGAGGCAAGGAGUGCCAUCAGCAGCGGAACAAUAACAAUGGCGAGGGUCUUCUUGGAACACGCCAUGAAGCUCUAGUAUAGGCUUCCGUAAGUAGAGGCUAGUUGGUUGUAACACCCUAAAAUUUGUCUUUUCGAAAUAAAGCUAAAUUAAUUUAAUUUUUGUAUGGUUGUGCUCAUGAAACAUAGUAAAAUAAUAUUUGUCAUUAAAAUAAAACUUAUCAUAGAGUUUAGUAACAUGUAUGUGCACUCAUGCUAGAUCAUUUAUAUUUUUGUACUGUGUGAUUUUGAUCAAAGUUAAAAUAUUUUCAAAUUGGUUUUACAAAUGGAUUUGAAAUAGUUUUUGAAUUAAAUAAAAAAAAAACUUCCUCCUCGUCCCAGUCUCGGCCCAACUCCACGGCCCAGGCCGCACCGCAGCGCCUCGCUUUCCCCUCUCUCUCUCUUUUCGCUGGCAGCCGGGUCCCGUUUUUCCCUGUCACUGACUCUCCGGGCCCGCACGUCAGCGACACCCUCUCUCUUUCCCCUUUCUUCCUCGCGUGGUCGAGCUGGACUCGAGCUCAGGCCAUGGUUUCCUUCCCGAUUUCUACGGGAUUUGCCGUGGGAAAGAUCCUUUGCUCCUAUAAGUCCCAGGCGCCUUCCCCCGCGCCCCUUUAUUUCCCCUUCGAGCCGCCACCCUGUCCUAGCACCGCCCGGUGGCCGCCGUUUGGAUCUUCAGAGACGGAACACACCCGCCGCCGUGGUCCGCGUCCCGUGGUGCUCAAAGGUUACUUGCAACCACGUGCCAGGCUUUGCAUCGUUCCUGCGAAGCUGCAGAGCCCUCCGCUUUGCUCUCUACCGGCCGUUACGGAGUCCCAAUCGCCGCCGAACUUGAGCAGGGCUCCGUCGUCCGCCCCAUCUCGACGCCGGGCCACCCCGAGCCCCCUCUGCCCGUAACAAUCGCCAAGGUGAGAUCCCCUUGUCUCCCUCUUGCUCCCCAUGCCUUCGGUUUUGUUUUUGGUGGACCGUAGCGCUUAAUCCGAUGAACUCCGGCGGGCUUUGCUCUACUCCGGCCAUGGCGCCGCCGUCUGGAACCGCCGCCGGCCGGCCAGGUCACCCCAACUCUCUCACAGCCGUCCAUUCACCGAUCAACGUCCAGGAUUAGAACUUACCCCUUCGGGGUGAACUUUGCUAAAGAGGCCCUGCCUUUUUCAAAUAUAGAACCCGCCGUCCUUUACGCAUUCAUAAGAAUACGCCUUACUGAUUUGAAAACGUAAAAUCGAUUACUCAGAGUUGAAAUACGUUUUCAGUAUUUACAGUUUUGCCACCAAAAUUAAAUUGCUUAUAACAUGCUAAUUUUAAUUCCGUUUUUGUCCAUUCAAAUUGCGUUAGGUUCGUAUUUACGAGCUCUACAUGUUAAAAAUAUUAUCUCACUGUUUUGAAACUUUUUAAAUUCGUGGUACUAUUUAAUUAAUUGUUUUUCUAUAUAAAAUCUUAGAAAAUUCAUAUCUUCUCCGUUUUAAAUCCGAUUUUCGUGAUCUUUACGUCUGUGAGAUCGUAGCGAUGCGUAGAAUCAUUUUAUAAACUUUUCAUACUGUUUUCAUAUGAUUGGUGUACUGUUCUAAUUGUAGUCUUGUUUGCUUCGUGUAUGUUUUCUUCGAUUGUUUGUGUGAUCGAUGAUCGAGUUUAGACGGAGAGCAGUUUCGGUGAUCAAGAUCAAAGCUUUGGCAACAAGUGAGACCAGCAGAACCAAAAGGAUAAGCAAGAGCAUUUGGAUUAAGGCAAGUAUAGCAUUUGAAUUUUAUUUCUGUGACCAUGAUCUUGUGACUUGAUUAAUGUUUAAGCAACAAAUGAUAGAAAUGACUUUUUAGCCACUUGAUGAUUUAUCUGUAAGUGAUAACCGGGACAACAGUGCAACCAUGAGGGCUAUAAUGGCUCUGGCUUUAGUUAAGUAUGAGUAACUUUUCUAGCUCGUUAGCGGUUACCCGUUGUGGCGCAAUUGGGGAAUAGCAGACCGUGGAUUCCUGCGGGUGAAUCACACGGACUGACUAAUGAAACCAAGCGGCCCUAACUUGUUAGACGAACCUUUGAAAGACUUCAUAGUGAUCCCUGCCGACCUCUCUUGGAAGGGGGUUAAGAGAUUAGCUACCUCGGGCGAAAGGGUAAAUCAUGACUCAUGGGUAAAGAUGUGCAACCUCUGCAGAGGGUUAUAAACUAGUAUACUAGCCGAGCUCACGGUCAGGAGCGGCCUUGGGGAUUCUUGCUGCGACGAUGAUGAUUCCUGUGUGUUAAAUAUGCUCAUUAUUUAUUAUUUAAUGCUUUACAUUAUUUAUGUCACAUUGAUCAUGAGAUUGUGGGAGCUAUACAAUCUAGUUGCUAUACUUGUGGAGUUCGACAUGGACUCACUCUUGCUAUUUCCCCCAAACCUGAGGAGAAGUUUAGGCUUGUGAUCAACCAGUCAGUUGGAUCCUGUAGAGUGGAGUUAAUACCCGAAGUUGAAGUUAUCUUCCGUUGUUUGCUGCUUAAGGUUAUCUCUAAUUUAUAAUGUACGUUAUAUAUUUAUGCAUUGUCUUUUGAUAUUACCCCUUAUUUGUAGCUAUAUAUGAGAAUUGACUUCUAAAACUCAUAUAUAGUGUAUAUCUGGUUUUGUCCUUAAAAUCGGGUAUUACAUUGGUCCCUUGUUGAUGCUCAGAUGCUUUGUGAUUGUUCGCUUGUAGGGAAUUGGGUGCCGCUAUGCUUGUCGUCCUUUUCUUAUAUAGGCUUGAGCCAUAACCAAAUUAAUUUGAGCAAUCAAUUUCUAACAUUUUUUUCCAUAAAAAAUAUCAUACCUUGAUAUUUUUACUCAUAGCACCAAUAUCCUCUAAUAUAUUUUGCCCACUCAAUAUUUAUAAUAUUGGUAGCUAUUUAAAUAAUAUAUUCUCAAAUUCACAUUUUUCUUCAUAAGUAAGCAUAAGCUGCCUAAUAAUAUCGUAUCUAUUUUGAUCCAUGCCAAUCAAAUUUGUAAUGAUAUAGAUUCACUCGAUAACAAUAUACCAUGCAUAGGCACUUAUUUGCUGCUAAUACAUCAUAUCAAAUUUUAUUAUUGAUAAUAUUAUAUUGAUCGUAAUUAACAGCAUUUUAACACGAUUUAAGGGUCUGGUUGGAUGCAACCAGAUAGUAGUUAUUAGUUGCUAAAAAUUAGUUGUGGUGGAUCCAAAUUGACCAGGGUAUUUGGUUAGCUAACUUUUAGAUGGACACCAAGCUAAGAACUAUCCUGUUACGUAAGCACACCACACUAGCUAAUAGCAUCUAAUUAAUGGUCAGUUGAGUAAAAGUCCGUCCCCCUAGAUCUUGGAGGUGGUUGAGGAGUUUUUACCUCAGAUGAAUUUGUAGAAGGAAAGAUUAAUUUUGAUGUGUUUGAUCUUCUCGACAGGUUCAACUGAUCCACUCUAAAGCACACUAGAGCAUGCUAUAGAUUAGUCGCAACUUGAGCCUAUGCCUGCUUCUCCAGCAACAUGGAAAUCUUGUCAAGAAGAUCAUCGACCAAAGGCUUCAUGCACAUAGGAUUGAUUGUAUCAGUCGAACCAUAUUGCUUAUCGUCGGCCAUAGUAGUCCAUACGUUUGCAUUCUUCCCUAGCAAAGUUGAUGAAAGGUGUGUCGAUGUGAAUUCCGGUCACACUAGCAUGAGCUUGAUCAUCCGGGCUGCACUUGUCCAAGACACGCAAUGGAAAUGGAUCUAAAUUGUGAUGCCAUCUAGCUUUUUGGAGAGGCCGAUUCAAUGCUAGUUCUUUGCCAAAAAGACCCACGAAUCCUGCCUAGGAUGACCAUCUACAAAUUGAACAACGGGGGUGCCAUAAAAUCGUCAUGGCCACCUAGGAUGUCGUCAGAUCUCAUAGGGACAUGCCCUAGACAUCAAGGAGUCUGGGAGAGGUUUAGGUAAAAAAAGGUAAAAAGUUUAAUAGAUUACUUUUGUCGAUUGGAUAGAUGUCUCAAUCGCCCGUGAUACCCUUAGUAGGAAACAUAUUCUACACACAGUUUUCCCAUUUGCUAGUAGAUUAACGAAGGAUUUUCCAACACGGAAACCUUGAGUUGUCACUGGGAUAUGCUGCAAAGUUGUAUGUCCUAGAGGUUAUGAUUAACUGUGAGGUUUUGGUCUCAUCAUAACUAUUACAAAAUAGAUCAACAUCUACAUCUAUAUGUGCCAACUAUCGCAUUGUCACUCGAUCUAGAGCCCUCUGUAGGAGCUGCAUCUCCUUAUAUCACAUUUCUAGCACCCCAACUAUCAUGGAGGUGAUACUUGUGGCCUCUCUAGCUGUACAAGCGGUGCCAAAAAUAGCAAUAUGUGCACACUGGUUAGGAGGAUUGGAAAAUGUUAGGCCACCAAGCCCAUCCACCGUACAUCACACUCUAAUAGGAAGCACAACAUAUCCAAAUGCUUGUCACCAAUCUUUGGGAAUUGAGUUGAAAAGGUUAAAACAAGGCAGGAUGAGAAUUCAUCAAGCAUAUGAUCAUAAUGUUAAGUUUUGCGUGACCAAGUCUUCUAUAUUAAAUUGAUUUGAGGAUACAUACCAUCAAUUAUUUGCCAUGCUAUCAUAGAUGUAAUACAUUGUGCCACACAUUUGCAGUACAUAUAUAUUACAUAUUGCGAACAAAAAUACAGUGCUCUAUCUUGAAUCGAGAAAUCGAUGAAUUAACGAACAAGCUAGUGGCGGAUGCCGAUGGAGGUCGACGGUUUUGGGACGCAACAACAAGAGGAGACCCCACCAACAACCUUGCAUAUCCCAACAGCAUUCAACCCCAAGACGGCGCACGUCGCCCCACAUGACUGUUCGUUGCAGUUGUCAGAGUUUGAGCACUGCUCUCCUCCUAAGAGGGCACGACUGCCUUGGCUUGCUAGAACGGCCGAGGCAAGGAGUGCCAUCAGCAGCGGAACAAUAACAAUGGCGAGGGUCUUCUUGGAACACGCCAUGAAGCUCUAGUAUAGGCUUCCGUAAGUAGAGGCUAGUUGGUCCCUGUUGAUGCUCAGAUGCUUUGUGAUUGUUCGCUUGUAGGGAAUUGAGUGCCGCUAUGCUUGUCGUCCUUUUCUUAUAUAGGCUUGAGCCAUAACCAAAUUAAUUUGAGCAAUCAAUUUCUAACAUUUUUUUCCAUAAAAAAUAUCAUACCUUGAUAUUUUUACUCAUAGCACCAAUAUCCUCUAAUAUAUUUUGCCCACUCAAUAUUUAUAAUAUUGGUAGCUAUUUAAAUAAUAUAUUCUCAAAUUCACAUUUUUCUUGCUAAGUAAGCAUAAGCUGCCUAAUAAUAUCCUAUCUAUUUUGAUCCAUGCCAAUCAAAUUUGUAAUGAUAUAGAGUCACUCGAAAACAAUAUACCAUGCAUAGGCACUUAUUUGCUGCUAAUACAUCAUAUCAAAUUUUAUUAUUGAUAAUAUUAUAUUGAUCGUAAUUAACAGCAUUUUAACACGAUUUUAGGGUCUGGUUGGAUGCAACCAGAUAGUAGUUAUUAGUUGCUAAAAAUUAGUUGUGGUGGAUCCAAAUUGACAAGGGUAUUUGGUUAGCUAACUUUUAGAUGGACACCAAGCUAAGAACUAUCCUGUUACGUAAGCACACCACACUAGCUAAUAGCAUCUAAUUAAUGGUCAGUUGAGUAAAAGUCCGUCCCCCCAGAUCUUGGAGGUGGUUGAGGAGUUUUUACCUCAGAUGAAUUUGUAGAAGGAAAGAUUAAUUUUGAUGUGUUUGAUCUUCUCGACAGGUUCAACUGAUCCACUCUAAAGCACACUAGAGCAUGCUAUAGAUUAGUCGCAACUUGAGCCUAUGCCUGCUUCUCCAGCAACAUGGAAAUCUUGUCAAGAAGAUCAUCGACCAAAGGCUUCAUGCACAUAGGAUUGAUUGGAUCAGUCGAACCAUAUUGCUUAUCGUCGGCCAUAGUAGUCCAUACGUUUGCAUUCUUCCCUAGCAAAGUUGAUGAAAGGUGUGUCGAUGUGAAUUCCGGUCACACUAGCAUGAGCUUGAUCAUCCGGGCUGCACUUGUCCAAGACACGCAAUGGAAAUGGAUCUAAAUUGUGAUGCCAUCUAGCUUUUUGGAGAGGCCGAUUCAAUGCUAGUUCUUUGCCAAAAAGACCCACGAAUCCUGCCUAGGGUGACCAUCUACAAAUUGAACAACGGGGGUGCCAUAAAAUCGUCAUGGCCACCUAGGAUGUCGUCAGAUCUCAUAGGGACAUGCCCUAGACAUCAAGGAGUCUGGGAGAGGUUUAGGUAAAAAAAGGUAAAAAGUUUAAUAGAUUACUUUUGUCGAUUGGAUAGAUGUCUCAAUCGCCCGUGAUACCCUUAGUAGGAAACAUAUUCUACACACACUUUUCCCAUUUGCUAGUAGAUUAACGAAGGAUUUUCCAACAAGGAAACCUUGAGUUGUCACUGGGAUAUGCUGCAAAGUUGUAUGUCCUAGAGGUUAUGAUUAACUGUGAGGUUUUGGUCUCAUCAUCCCUAUUACAAAAUAGAUCAACAUCUACAUCUAUAUGUGCCAACUAUCGCAUUGUCACUCGAUCUAGAGCCCUCUGUAGGAGCUGCAUCUCCUUAUAUCACAUUUCUAGCACCCUAACUAUCAUGGACGUGAUACUUGUGGCCUCUCUAGCUGUACUAGCGGUGCCAAAAAUAGCAAUAUGUGCACACUGGUUAGGAGGAUUGGAAAAUGUUGGGCCACCAAGCCCAUACACCGUACAUCACACUCUAAUAGGAAGCACAACAUAUCCAAAUGCUUGUCACCAAUUUUUGGGAAUUGAGUUGAAAAGGUUAAAACAAGGCAGGAUGAGAAUUCAUCAAGCAUGUCAUCAAAAUGUGAAGUUUUGCGUGACCAAGUCUUCUGUAUUAAAUUGAUUUGAGGAUACAUACCAUCAAUUAUUUGCCAUGCUAGCAUAGAUGUAAUACAUUGUGCCACACAUUUGCAGUACAUAUAUAUUACAUAUUGCGAACAAAAAUACAGUUCUCUAUCUUGAAUCGAGAAAUCGAUGAAUUAACAAACAAGCUAGUGGCGGAUGCUGAUGGAGGUCGACGGUUUUGGGACGCAACAACAAGAGGAGACCCCACCAACAACCUUGCAUAUCCCAACAGCAUUCAACCCCAAGACGGCGCACGUCGCCCCACAUGACUGUUCGUUGCAGUUGUCAGAGUUUGAGCACUGCUCUCCUCCUAAGAGGGCACGACUGCCUUGGCUUGCUAGAACGGCCGAGGCAAGGAGUGCCAUCAGCAGCGGACAAUAACAAUGGCGAGGGUCUUCUUGGAACACGCCAUGAAGCUCUAGUAUAGGCUUCCGUAAGUAGAGGCUAGUUGGUCCCUUGUUGAUGCUCAGAUGCUUUGUGAUUGUUCGCUUGUAGGGAAUUGAGUGCCGCUAUGCUUGUCGUCCUUUUCUUAUAUAGGCUUGAGCCAUAACCAAAUUAAUUUGAGCAAUCAAUUUCUAACAUUUUUUCCAUAAAAAAUAUCAUACCUUGAUAUUUUUACUCAUAGCACCAAUAUCCUCUAAUAUAUUUUGCCCACUCAAUAUUUAUAAUAUUGGUAGCUAUUUAAAUAAUAUAUUCUCAAAUUCACAUUUUUCUUGAUAAGUAAGCAUAAGUUGCCUAAUAAUAUCAUAUCUAUUUUCAUCCAUGGCAAUCAAAUUUGUAAUGAUAUUGAUUCACUCGAUAACAACAUGCCAUGCAUAGGCACUUAUUUGCUGCUAAUACGUCAUAUCAAAUUUCAUUAUUGAUAAUAUUAUAUUGAUCGCAAUUAACAGCAUUUUAACACGAUUUAAUGGUCUGGUUGGAUGCAACCAGAUAGUAGUUAUUAGUUGCUAAAAAUUAGUUGUGGUGGAUCCAAAUUGACCAGGGUAUUUGGUUAGCUAACUUUUAGAUGGACACCAAGCUAAGAACUAUCCUGUUACGUAAGCACACCACACUAGCUAAUAGCAUCUAAUUAAUGGUCAGUUGAGUAAAAGUCCAUCCCCCCAGAUCAUGGAGGUGGUUGAGGAGUUUUUACCUCAGAUGAAUUUGUAGAAGGAAAGAUUUAUUUUGAUGUGUUUGAUCUUCUCGACAGGUUCAGCUGAUCCACUCUAAAGCACACUAGAGCAUGCUAUAGAUUAGUCGCAACUUGAGCCUAUGCCUGCUUCUCCAGCAACAUGGAAAUCUUGUCAAGAAGAUCAUCGACCAAAGGCUUCAUGCACAUAGGAUUGAUUGGAUCAGUCGAACCAUAUUGCUUAUCGUCGGCCAUAGUAGUCCAUACGUUUGCAUUCUUCCCUAGCAAAGUUGAUGAAAGGUGUGUCGAUGUGAAUUCCGGUCACACUAGCAUGACCUUGAUCAUCCGGGCUGCACUUGUCCAAGACACGCAAUGGAAAUAGAUCUAAAUUGUGAGGCCAACUAGCUUUUUGGAGAGGCCGAUUCAAUGCUAGUUCUUUGCCAAAAAGACCCACGAAUCCUGCCUAGGAUGACCAUCUACAAAUUGAACAACUGGGGUGCCAUAAAAUCGUCAUGGCCACCUAGGAUGUCGUCAGAUCUCAUAGGGACAUGCCCUAGACAUCAAGGAGUCUGGGAGAGGUUUAGGUAAAAAAAGGUAAAAAGUUUAAUAGAUUACUUUUGUCGAUUGGAUAGAUGGAUAUCUCAAUCGCCCGUGAUACCCUUAGUAGGAAACAUAUUCUACACACAGUUUUCUCGUUUGCUAGUAGAUUAACGAAGGAUUUUCCAACAAGGAAACCCUGAGUUGUCACUGGCAUAUGCUGCAAAGUUGUAUGUCCUAGAGGUUAUGAUUAACUGUGAGGUUUUGGUCUCAUCAUCACUAUUACAAAAUAGAUCAACAUCUACAUCUGUAUGUGCCAACUAUCGCAUUGUCACUCGAUCUAGAGCCCUCUGUAGGAGCUGCAUCUCCUUAUAUCACAUUUCUAGCACCCUAACUAUCAUGGACGUGAUACUUGCGGCCUCUCUAGCUGUACUAGCGGUGCCAAAAAUAGCAAUAUGUGCACACUGGUUAGGAGGAUUGGAAAAUGUUGGGCCACCAAGCCCAUCCACGGUACAUCACACUCCAGUAGGAAGGACAACAUAUCCAAAUGCUUGUCACCAAUCUUUGGGAAUUGAGUUGAAAAGGUUAAAACAAGGCAGGAUGAGAAUUCAUCAAGCAUAUCAUCAUAAUGUGAAGUUUUGCGUGACCAAGUCUUCUGUAUUAAAUUGAUUUGAGGAUACAUUGUGCCACACAUUUGCAGUACAUAUAUAUUACAUAUUGCGAACAAAAAUAUAGUUCUCUAUCUUGAAUCGAGAAAUCGAUGAAUUAACGAACAUGCUAGUGGCGGAUGCCGAUGGAGGUCGACGGUUUUGGGACGCAACAACAAGAGGAGACCCCACCAACAACCUUGCAUAUCCCAACAGCAUUCAACCCCAAGACGGCGCACGUCGCCCCACAUGACUGUUCAUUGCAAUUGUCAGAGUUUGAGCACUGCUCUCCUCCUAAGAGGGCACGACUGCCUUGGCUUGCUAGAACGGCCGAGGCAAGUAGUGCCAUCAGCAGCGGAACAAUGACAAUGGCGAGGGUCUUCUUGGAACACGCCAUGGAGCUCUAGUAUAGGUUUCCGUAAGUAGAGGCUAGUUGGUCCCUUGUUAAUGCUCGGAUGCUUUGUGAUUGUUCGUUUAUAGGGAAUUGAGUGCCCCUAUGCUUGUCGUCCUUUUCUUAUAUAGGCUUGAGCCAUAACCAAAUUAAUUUGAGCAAUCAAUUUCUAAAAUUCUUUCCAUAAAAAUAUCAUACCUUGAUAUUUUUACUCAUAGCACCAAUAUCCUCUAAUAUAUUUUGCCCACUCAACAUUUAUAAUAUUAGUAGCUAUUUAAAUCAUGUAUCUUGAUAAGUAAGCAUAAGCUGCCUAAUAAUAUCAUAUCUAUUUUGAUCCAUGCCAAUUAAAUUUUCAUCAUAAUGUGAAGUUUUGCGUGACCAAGUCUUCUGUAUUAAAUUGAUUUAAGGAUACAUACCAUCAGUUAUUUGUCAUGCUAACAUGGAUGUAAUACAUUGUGCCACACAUUUGUCCGUUGCCGUACAUAUAUAUUACAUAUUGCUAACAAAAAUACAGUUUGAAACCAUGCCAAUCAAAUUUUUAAUGAUAUAGAUUCACUCCAUAGCAAUAUAUAUACCAUGCAUAGGCACUUAUUUGCUGCUAAUACAUCAUAUCAAUUUUCAUUACUGAUAAUAUUAUAUUGAUCGAAAUUAACAGCAUUUUAACACGAUUUAAGGGACUGCUUGGAUGCAACCAGAUAGUAGUUAUUAGUUGCUAAAAAAUUGUUCUGGUGGAUCCAAAUUGGCCCGGCUAUUAGGUUAGCUAACUAUUAGAUGGACACCAGAUAAUGAAGCAUAAGCUGCCUAAUAAUGUCAUAUCUAUUUUGAUCCUAGCCAAUCAAUUUUUUAACGAUAUAGACUCACUCCAUAGCAAUAAUAUAUCAUGCAUAUUAAUUUUCAUUAUUGAUAAUAUUAUAGUGUUUGUAAUUAACAACAUUUUAACAUGAUUUAUGGGUCUGGUUGUAUCCAACUAGAUAGUAGUUAUUAGUUGCUAAUAAUUAGUUGUGGUGGAUCCAAAUUGACCAAGCUAUUAGGUUAGCUAACUAUUAGAUGGACACCACGCCAAGAACUAUCUUGUUAGAUAAGCACAACACACUUGCUAAUAGCAUCUAAUUAAUGGUCAGUUCAGUAAAAGUCCCUCCCCCCAGAUCUUGGAGGUGGUUGAGGAGUUUUUACCUCAGAUGAAUUUCUAGAAGGAAAGAUUAAUUUUCAUGCAUUUGAACUCUGAAGCACACUAGAGCGUGCUACAGAUUAGUAGCAACUUUAGCCUAUGUCUGCUUCUCUAGCAACAUGCAAAUCUCAUCGAGAAGUUCAUCGACCGAAGGCUUCAUGACGCACACAGGAUUGAUUGGAUCAGUCGGACCAUAUUGCUUACCAUCGGCCAUAGUGUAGUCCAUACAUUUGCAUUCUUCCCUAGCAAAGUUGAUACAAGUUGUGUCAACGUGAAUUCCGGUCACAAGAGCAAGGGCUUGAUCAUUCGGGCUGCACUUAUCCAAGACAUGCAAUGGAAAUAAAUCUAAAUGGUGAUGCCAACUACCUUUUUGGAGAGGCUCAAUGCAAGUUCUUUGCUGAAAAGACCCACAAAUCCUGCCUAGGAUGACCAUCUACAAAUCAAAGAACGGGGUUACCAUAAAAUCGUCAUGGCCACCAAGGAUGUCAUCAGAUCUCAAAGGGAGAUGCCCUAGACAUCAAGGAGACUGGGAGAGGUUUAGGUACAAAAAAGUUAACAAGUUUAAUAAUUACUUUUUUCGAUUGGAUAGAUGGAUAUCUCAAUCACCCGUGAUACCCUUAGUAGGAAACAUAUUCUACACACAAUUUUCUCGUUUCCUUGUACAUUAACGAAGGAGUUUCCAACAAGGAAACCUUGAGUUGUCACUAGGAUAUGCUGCUAAAUUGUAUGUCCUAGACGUUAUGAUUAACUGUGAGGUUUUGGUCUAAUCAUCACUGUUACAAAUCAGAUCAACAUCUACAUUUAUAUGAGCCCUCUCUAGGAGCUGCAUCUCCUUAUAUCACAUUUCUAGCACCCUACUAUCAUGGAUGUGAUACUUGUGGCUUCUCUAGCUAUACGAGUCCAAAAAUAGCAAUAUGUGCACACUGGUUAGGAGGAUUGGAAAAUGUUAGGCCGGUAAGCCCAUCCACACUACAUCACACACCAAUAGGAAGGACAACAUAUCCAAAAGCUUGUUACCAAUCACUGGGAAUUGAGCUGAAAAGGUUAAAACAAGGCAGGACGAGAAUUCAUCAAGCAUAUCAUCAUAAUGUGAAGUUUUGCGUGACCAAGUUUUCUGUAUUAAACUGAUUUAAAGAUACAUACCAUCACUUAUUUGUCAUGCUAGCACGGAUGUAAUACAUUGUGCCACAUAUUUGUAUGUUGCAGUACAUAUAUAUUACAUAUUGCUAACAAAAAUGCAGUUUCUCUAUCUUGAAUCCAGAAGUCGAUGAAUUAUCGCACAAACUAGUAGCAGAUGCCGAUGGAGGUCGACAGUUAUGGGACGCAACAACAAGAGGAGACCCCACCAACAACCUUGCAUAUCCCAACAGCAUUCAUCCCCAAGACAGCGCACGUCACCCCACGUGACCGUUCGUUGCAAUGUCAGAUUUGGAGCACUGCUCUCCUCCUAAGAGGGCACGGCUGCCUUGGCUUGCUAGAACGGCCGAGGCAAGGGGUGCUAUCAGCAGCGGAACAACGAUGAUGGUGAGGGUCUUCUUGGAACACACCAUGAAGCUCUAGUAUAGGCUUGCGUAAGUAGAGGCUAGUUGGUCCCUUGUUGAUGCU